AUACGGAGGGUGCAAGCGUUACUCGGAAUCACUGGGCGUAAAGCGCGCGCAGGCGGUCUUUUAAGUUGGAUGUGAAAGCCUACGGCUCAACCGUAGAACUGCGUCCAAAACUAUUAGACUAGAGUGUGGGAGAGGAAGAUGGAAUUAGUUGUGUAGGGGUAAAAUCCGUAGAGAUAACUAGGAAUACCAAAAGCGAAGGCAAUCUUCUGGAACACUACUGACGCUGAGGCGCGAAAGCGUGGGGAGCAAACAGGAUUAGAUACCCUAGUAGUCC
rnacentral:rRNA from 1 species